rnacentral:rRNA from 1 species
UACGUAGGGGGCUAGCGUUGUCCGGAAUCAUUGGGCGUAAAGCGCGUGUAGGCGGUUCGGUAAGUCUGCUGUGAAAGUCGGGGGCUCAACCCUCGAAUGCCGGUGGAUACUGUCGGACUAGAGUGCGGAAGAGGCGAGUGGAAUUCCUGGUGUAGCGGUGAAAUGCGCAGAUAUCAGGAGGAACACCGGUGGCGAAGGCGGCAUCCUGGACCGACAUUGACGCUGAGGCGCGAAAGCCAGGGGAGCAAACGGG